GGGGAAUAUUGGACAAUGGGGGCAACCCUGAUCCAGCAAUACCGCGUGUGUGAAGAAGGCCUGCGGGUUGUAAAGCACUUUCAGUGGGGAGGAAGAGCUUGAUGCUAAUAGUAUCGAGUUGAGACGUUACCCACAGAAGAAGCACCGGCUAACUCUGUGCCAGCAGCCGCGGUAAUACAGAGGGUGCAAGCGUUAAUCGGAAUCACUGGGCGUAAAGGGUGCGUAGGUGGUUGAAUAAGUCAGAUGUGAAAUCCCUGGGCUCAACCUAGGCAUUGCAUUUGGUACUGUUCAGCUAGAGUGCAGUAGAGGAAUGUGGAAUUUCCGGUGUAGCGGUGAAAUGCGUAGAUAUCGGAAGGAACAUCAGUGGCGAAGGCGACAUUCUGGACUGUAACUGACACUGAGGCACGAAAGCGUGGGGAGCAAAC
rnacentral:rRNA from 1 species